rnacentral:rRNA from 1 species
UCUACGGGGCGCUGCAGUGGGGAAUAUUGGACAAUGGGCGAAAGCCUGAUCCAGCCAUGCCGCGUGUGUGAAGAAGGCCUUCGGGUUGUAAAGCACUUUCAGUGGGGAAGAAAGCCUUGGGGCUAAUACCCUCGAGGAAGGACAUCACCCACAGAAGAAGCACCGGCUAACUCCGUGCCAGCAGCCGCGGUAAUACGGAGGGUGCGAGCGUUAAUCGGAAUUACUGGGCGUAAAGCGCGCGUAGGCGGUCUGAUAAGCCGGUUGUGAAAGCCCCGGGCUCAACCUGGGAACGGCAUCCGGAACUGUCAGGCUAGAGUGCAGGAGAGGAAGGUAGAAUUCCCGGUGUAGCGGUGAAAUGCGUAGAGAUCGGGAGGAAUACCAGUGGCGAAGGCGGCCUUCUGGACUGACACUGACGCUGAGGUGCGAAAGCGUGGGUAGCAAACAGGAUUAGAUACCCGAGUAGUC